AACGCACAUUGCGCCCUUUGGUAUUCCGAGGGGCAUGCCUGUUCGAGCGUCAUUUCGACCAUCAAGCACCGCUUGGUAUUGGGCGCAGGUCCUGCAGCGACCCGCCCGCAACUCGUUGGCGGCACCGUCCGGCCCUAGGCGUAGCAGAAAUAUUUCGUCUCGGGAGCUUGCGGCGGCUGCUGGCCCUAUAAUGCAGGGGGUCUCCCCCCCACAGUUUGACCUCGGAUCAGGUAGGGAUACCCGCUGAACUUAA
rnacentral:misc_RNA from 1 species